UACGUAGGUGGCAAGCGUUGUCCGGAUUUACUGGGCGUAAAGAGCGCGCAGGCGGUCGAAUAAGUCGAAUGUGAAAGCCCCCGGCUUAACUGGGGAGGGUCAUUCGAUACUGCUCGACUUGAAGGCAGGAGAGGGUAGUGGAAUUCCCGGUGUAGUGGUGAAAUGCGUAGAUAUCGGGAGGAACACCAGUGGCGAAGGCGACUACCUGGCCUGUUCUUGACGCUGAGGCACGAAGGCCAGGGGAGCAAACGGG
rnacentral:rRNA from 1 species